rnacentral:rRNA from 1 species
GAUGAACGCUAGCGGGAGGCCUAACACAUGCAAGCCGAGCGGUAUUUGUUCUUCGGAACAGAGAGAGCGGCGCACGGGUGCGGAACACGUGUGCAACCUGCCUUUAUCUGGGGGAUAGCCUUUCGAAAGGAAGAUUAAUACCCCAUAAUAUAUUGAGUGGCAUCAUUUGAUAUUGAAAACUCCGGUGGAUAGAGAUGGGCACGCGCAAGAUUAGAUAGUUGGUGAGGUAACGGCUCACCAAGUCAAUGAUCUUUAGGGGGCCUGAGAGGGUGAUCCCCCACACUGGUACUGAGACACGGACCAGACUCCUACGGGAGGCAGCAGUGAGGAAUAUUGGACAAGGGGUUAGCGCCUGAUCCAGCCAUCCCGCGUGAAGGACGACGGCCCUAUGGGUUGUAAACUUCUUUUGUAUAGGGAUAAACCUACUCUCGUGAGAGUAGCUGAAGGUACUAUACGAAUAAGCACCGGCUAACUCCGUG